rnacentral:rRNA from 1 species
UAUCCUUUGUUGCCAGCGGUCCGGCCGGGAACUCAAAGGAGACUGCCAGUGAUAAACUGGAGGAAGGUGGGGAUGACGUCAAGUCAUCAUGGCCCUUACGACCAGGGCUACACACGUGCUACAAUGGCGCAUACAAAGAGAAGCGACCUCGCGAGAGCAAGCGGACCUCAUAAAGUGCGUCGUAGUCCGGAUUGGAGUCUGCAACUCGACUCCAUGAAGUCGGAAUCGCUAGUAAUCGUGGAUCAGAAUGCCACGGUGAAUACGUUCCCGGGCCUUGUACACACCGCCCGUCACACCAUGGGAGUGGGUUGCAAAAGAAGUAGGUAGCUUAACCUUCGGGAGGGCGCUUACCACUUUGUGAUUCAUGACUGGGGUGAAGUCGUAACAAGGUAACCGUAGGGGAACCUGCGGUUGGAUCACCUCCUU